UAUACGGGGCGCAGCAGGCGCGAAACCUUCGCAAUGCGCGAAAGCGUGACGAGGUUAAUCAGAGUGAUUCCCGCUGAGGGGAUCUUUUGUCGCCUGUAAAAAGGCCGGCGAAUAAGGCGAGGGCAAGUCUGGUGUCAGCCGCCGCGGUAAUACCAGCUCCUCGAGUGGUCGGCGCGAUUAUUGGGCCUAAAGCAUCCGUAGCCGGUUCNGUAGGUCUUCUGUUAAAUCCAACGGCUUAACGUUGGCCUUGCAGAGGAUACUGCCGGACUAGGAGGCGGGAGAGGCAAGCGGUACUCCACGUGUAGGGGUAAAAUCCUGUGAUCCGUAGAAGACCACCAGUGGCGAAGGCGUCUUGCCAGAACGCGUUCGACGGUGAGGGAUGAAAGCUGGGGGAGCGAACCGGAUUAGAUACCCGGGUAGUCCCAGCUGUAAACGAUGCGAGCUAGGUGAUUCGGUNGCAAAUCGCGAUCGAAGUGUCGCAGGGAAGCCG
rnacentral:rRNA from 1 species